CUGCCUGGCACGCGCCAAGGGUCCAUUGGAGACCGAGUUUCGCGCACCGCCCCCUGGCGGUUUGGAGGACGCAUUGUGAACGUGUUCGCCUUGUAGUGGCGCGCGGUAGGACGACAAAUGCAGUUUGACUUUUCCAGACUGAACAAAAACGGCUGAUUGGAAGACAGAAUUCCUCGUGGCUCAGAUUCUGUUCCCCUUCACUGCUAGAGCGGUUCCACUACUCUCCGGACUUCCAUCAAGACAGAAGCACAGUUACAGAGCACACACUGACAGGAAGUUCAUGUGCCACCUGAGAAAGAUCCUUGUCUCAGAAUGGACAUUUGGGUGAAGUUUGUGUUCAGCAUUCAUUGUGUGUGUAUGUGGGGGGCAGUGCAGAUGGAGUCGUCAUUGUUGCAGUGCUGGGUAUUGAACGCAGGGCCUCUUUCAUGUAGGCAGCCACCAUACCAACUGAGCUACACUCCUGCUCUAAAGGUGUAGAAGUAUUUUAAUUGGGGCCUGGGAGAUGGCUCAGUCUGGAAAGUGAUUGCUUUGAAAGCACAAAGACCUGAGUCCCAAGUACUCCCUAUAGAAAGGAAGCCAGUUGUAGUGGGGCUCCCUGGUCGGCAUCCUGGUGAGACCAAGGCCCAGAAGAAACAGUCUCAAGGUGGAUAGUGCCUGAGAACAUCUGUGAUGGCAAUUCUUGGUUAUCAACUUAACCACAUCUGGAAUGAACUAUAGUACAGAAAUGGAGGGCACACCUGUGAGAGAUUAUCCACUGAAUCCACUUCUAGUGCAGACUUUUGAGGCUGGGUGACACAAGCCUUUGAUCCAGAUCUUGAGGCUGGAAGACACGCCUUUAAUCUGGGCCAUACCUUCUGCUGGGAGACUUUUGCUUAUUGCCUGCUUGCCCUUACCUUGAUAGCACAUCCAUUCCUCCACUGGCUUUGGACUCUAUUUCUUUGGGAUUCCAGCACAUACUGAAGAUCAGCUGAGACACCCAGCCUUGUGGAUUGAGAAACUACUGGAAUUUUGGAUUUUCUGUUCCUGGCCAGCCAUUCAUUGUUGAAUUAGCUGGACUGCAGCCUAUAAGUCAUCACAAUAAAUCUCUCUAUAUA